GGAGACUGUAGUUUAGUGGCACAGCAAAUGCUUUGGAUGCAGAAGGUCUCAGGUUCAAUCCCUGGCAUCUCCA